CUAUUUGGGAGGAUAGAAAUAAAGUUCGUAAUAUGGAACCUCUCCAUUCUUUGGAUCUCAGAUGCGAGUGGAUUAUGAAGUAUGCAACAAAGGAUAAAACCAAUGAGACCCAAGAAGAAUUCAAAUUCUUGAAGUGGAAGACAGUUGUGGGAAUGAAUGGUUUUCAGAGUGCCACAUCGUUGAUAAAAAAUUCCUCCUACUCAAAAGAGCUUGAUUAGAUGAUGAAAACCACAUGCAAGAACAGAGAUGAGGUAGAUGUAGAAGAGAAAAAAGAGAGAAACAAAAAGACUCGAGUUACGUGGUUCUAUCAAAGUGAUCUACAUCAAUGGGAAGAACCUCUACUAUGAAAAUCACAAGAAGUGUUUAUAAGAUAAUCUCACUUAUUUUUCAUUCUUCUCCCUAUUUGUUGUGUGUGUUCUAAAAAUGAAGGUUUGAUUCUUCUUCUAUAUUUAAGGUAGAUUCGUUACAAGAGAGUUUGUUAAGAGAAAGUGAAGUUGAUUUCAUCAUUUUUACAAUUCUCCACUUUGAAAUCAACUAUAUGUUUGGUCCGAUUAUGA